rnacentral:rRNA from 1 species
UGGGGAAUAUUGGACAAUGGGGGGAACCCUGAUCCAGCCAUGCCGCGUGUGUGAAGAAGGCCUUAUGGUUGUAAAGCACUUUAAGCGAGGAGGAGGGUACUGGUAUUAAUACUACCAGGUACUGGACGUUACUAGCAGAAUAAGCACCGGCUAACUCUGUGCCAGCAGCCGAGGUAAUACAGAGGGUGCGAGCGUUAAUCGGAUUUACUGGGCGUAAAGCGUGCGUAGGCGGCUAAUUGAGUCGGAUGUGAAAUCCCCGAGCUUAACUUGGGAACUGCAUUCGAUACUGGUUAGCUAGAGUGUGGGAGAGGAUGGUAGAAUUCCAGGUGUAGCGGUGAAAUGCGUAGAGCUCUGGAGGAAUACCGAUGGCGAAGGCAGCCAUCUGGCCUAACACUGACGCUGAGGUACGAAAGCAUGGGGAGCAAACAGG